GUGCAGCAGGCGAGAAUACUUUACAAUGUGCGAAAGCACGAUAAGGGAACUCUGAGUGCCUCCUAAGGAGGCUGUUCUGAUGUCUAAAAAGCAACAGAAGUAAGGGCUGGGUAAGACCGGUGCCAGCCGCCGCGGUAACACCGGCAGCCCAAGUGGUAGCCGCGUUUAUUGGGUCUAAAAGCGUUCGUAGCCGGCCAGGUAAGUUCCUUGGUAAAAUUUAGCCGCUUAACGGUUAAGCUUUCAGGGAAUAUUGCUUGGCUUGGGACUGGGAGAGGUCAGAGGUACUCCGGGGGUAGGGUGAAAUCUAUUAAUCCCUGGGGGACCACCGGUAGCGAAGGCGUCUGACCAGACCAGGUCCGACGGUGAGGGACGAAGGCUAGGGGCGCGAACCGGAUUAGAUACCCCGGUAGU
rnacentral:rRNA from 1 species